rnacentral:misc_RNA from 1 species
GAUGAAGAACGUAGCGAAAUGCGAUAAGUAGUGUGAAUUGCAGAAUUCAGUGAAUCAUCGAAUCUUUGAACGCACAUUGCGCCUUCUAGUAUUCUGGGAGGCAUGCCUGUUUGAGCGUCAUUAAACCUCUCUCAAGUAUGAUUACUUGGAUGUGAAGGAAGAGUACCUUAAACUUAAGGAGUGUUCUCCUUUGAAAUUGAUUAGCAGAUGGUAAUGUUAUUAAAUCCCUGAUGUUGUAAGAAAUAACAGUGGUUUUGUAGACUAUUAUCUAGCUUUAAAUUAUAAUUUUUAUUAUGGUUGACCUCAAAUCAGGUAAGGAUACCCGCUGAACUUAAGCAUAUCAUAGCGGAGGA